AACAGGAUUAGAUACCCUGGUAGUCCACGCCCUAAACGAUGUCUACUAGUUGUCGGGUUUUAAUUAACUUGGUAACGCAGCUAACGCGUGAAGUAGACCGCCUGGGGAGUACGGUCGCAAGAUUAAAACUCAAAGGAAUUGACGGGGACCCGCACAAGCGGUGGAUGAUGUGGAUUAAUUCGAUGCAACGCGAAAAACCUUACCUACCCUUGACAUGUACGGAAGACCGAAGAGAUUUGGUUGUGCUCGAAAGAGAACCGUAACACAGGUGCUGCAUGGCUGUCGUCAGCUCGUGUCGUGAGAUGUUGGGUUAAGUCCCGCAACGAGCGCAACCCUUGUCAUUAGUUGCUACAUUCAGUUGAGCACUCUAAUGAGACUGCCGGUGACAAACCGGAGGAAGGUGGGGAUGACGUCAAGUCCUCAUGGCCCUUAUGGGUAGGGCUUCACACGUCAUACAAUGGUACAUACAGAGGGCCGCCAACCCGCGAGGGGGAGCUAAUCCCAGAAAGUGUAUCGUAGUCCGGAUCGCAGUCUGCAACU
rnacentral:rRNA from 1 species